rnacentral:rRNA from 1 species
GACGAACGCUGGCGGCGUGCUUAACACAUGCAAGUCGAACGGAAAGGCCCUGCUUUCGUGUGGUGCUCGAGUGGCGAACGGGUGAGUAACACGUGAGUAACCUGCCCUUGACUUUGGGAUAACUUCAGGAAACUGGGGCUAAUACCGGAUAGGUGCUCCUGCUGCAUGGUGGGGGUUGGAAAGCUUCGGCGGAUGGGGAUAGACUCUGGGUUUAUUAGCUUGUUGGUUGGGUACUUGCUUACCCAGGGUUUGAAGGGUAGCCGGCCUGGGAGGGUGGACGGCGACAUUGGGACUAAGAGACGGCCCAGACGCCUACGGGAGACAGCAGUGGGGAAUAUUGCACAGUGGGGGGAAGCCUGAGGCAGCGGCGCCGCGUGCGGGAUGAAGGCCAUGGGGUUGGAAAGCGCUUUCGCCUGUGACGAAGCGGGAGUGACGGUAAUGGGAGAAGAAGCACCGGCUAACUACGUG